GACAUAUGGGGCGAGCGUUACUCGGAAUCACUAGGCGUAAAGCACGUGUAGGCGGAUGCUCAAGUCUGCUGUGAAAUCUCCCGGCUCAACUGGGAGGGGUCAGUGGAAACUAAGUGUCUAGAGUUAGGUAGGGGUCAUCGGAAUUCCUGGUGUAGCGGUGAAAUGCGUAGAUAUCAGGAGGAACACCAAUAGCGAAAGCAGAUGACUGGGCCUUAACUGACGCUGAGACGUGAAAGCCGGGGGAGUAAACAGG
rnacentral:misc_RNA from 1 species